UACGAAGGGGGCUAGCGUUGCUCGGAAUUACUGGGCGUAAAGCGCACGUAGGCGGUCUUUUAAGUCGGGGGUGAAAUCCUGGAGCUCAACUCCAGAACUGCCUUCGAUACUGAAAGACUUGAGUUCGGGAGAGGUGAGUGGAACUGCGAGUGUAGAGGUGAAAUUCGUAGAUAUUCGCAAGAACACCAGUGGCGAAGGCGGCUCACUGGCCCGAUACUGACGCUGAGGUGCGAAAGCGUGGGGAGCAAACAGG
rnacentral:rRNA from 2 species